AAUAUUGCGCAAUGUACGGAAGUGUGACGCAGCGACGCCGCGUGAGCGAUGAAGGUCUUCGGCUCUUAAAGCUCCGUCUUUGGGGAAGUAGGGCUUCGCCCUUGCCGGUACCCAAGAAGAAAGCCCCGGCUCACUACGUGCCAGCAGCCGCGGCAAUACGGAGGGGGCGAGCGUUGCCCGGAAUUACUGGGCGUAAAGGUUGCGUAGGCGGCCCUUUAAGUCAGAUGUGAAAGGCCACGGCUUAACCGUGGAACUGCAUGUGAAACUGGAGGGCUUGAGGGUCGGAGAGGGUAGUGGAAUUCCCAGUGUCGCGGUGAAAUGCGUAGAUAUUGGGAGGAACACCAGUGGCGAAGGCGACUACCUGGACGAUAACUGACGCUGAGGCACGAAAGCUAGGGGAGCAAAC
rnacentral:rRNA from 1 species